AAUAUGCCUACUUUAUAUAUUUUAUAAAUUGAUAGUUCUGUACUUAAAAGUGUUCAAGUUUCAUCUAAUUUUUGCAUGUUUGUACAGAAAAUUCGUGUUGCCAUGACUAAUAUGACGUGGGCAACGCGAGCCUGCGUUCAGUAUUGGCGUAAUAACGAAUACUUCAUGUUGAAACAAUGUUUGGGAAAUAUAGGCGAGGGGUUGUUGCAUGCAUAUAUUUCUCGUACCAGAUAAGAUAUGGGAACACGAAAAAUCUGAGAGCGCAUUACACGGUAAAAAAGCCGUAUUGCCCUGGUCUAAACAUGUUUUUCCUGGUUAGGACGAAGCAAAAAUCGAACUUUUUUGAGUGAUAAACAACUGUGACAAACACACUACAGAAAAUCACUAUAGGUCACAGCCGACUCCUGACUCGAAUAUAAUGUUACGAACACAUAAACAGUAAUAAAAUAAGUCUAUAGAACUGCAAGAGUAAAACAGCAAACUUGCGAGCAGUUUCGACCUUCUAAAAUCAUGACAACUUACUUGAACAUUAUUGAAGUAUAAUUGGACCGUUUGCAUGGACGCAAAAUAUUAGGCUCGUACGCCAAAGCUUUCUCGUUGGACAGUUUCUUGUUUUUGUCUUUUUGAAGCAAUUGGAUGAAAACUAGAAAACUUGAUGUACAGGUUUUUGUAUUUGUAAUAUUUUAUCCAAUCAGAUUAAAGAAUGAUGACUUUAGUGUAAACGGUUGUUCCUAAUUCAGUAUGCAAGUUGUAACUUGUUGUUGUUCUCGUUUCGUUUGAAAUAAUUUGCCUCUUAUAAUGGCAAAUACAUGCAACUCAUUCCAAAAAAGACAUGGAAAUCUUUCCUUUCAGCUUUGUCAUAUAAUAAAAAUCCUAUUAAAUGGUUAGACAUAUAAUCCUGCCUUAUCCGGCCGAUAAUUUUACUCGUUUCUCCCAUUUUUUCUUGCCCUUUCAGCGCUCGGAAAAAUACGUUCGAAACUCGUAAAAUAAUCUGCCCAAUUAUAUGUCAAACCAUUCAAAAAGACAUAUUUAUUAUUUGGCUUUGCAGAAAGGUUUCCGAUGAAUAAUACUGUUUUUAAGAACGAGAGACCUCGUCAAACAUUUAAGGAUGGGGGGAGGGACGCCAUUGUUUUUGGUUUGCCGGGAAAAUGACUGUUUGCCCCCAUAUCAUGCCUGAUCAGCAUGCCUGGGAAACACAAAGUAUGGAUUAUAACAAUUUCGCUUAGGUCUGACAAAUUUUCCAUCAACAUGCAUGUAGUUUCUCGGAUACUGGCUAAUAAUGGUCUGCCAGCUUUUCAAAAUUUGCAAUACUAAAUUGACAUGAACAAGAUAAUUUGUAUAAGUUCAUUACUUGAUUUAAUUAACAGCAUAAUAUUUGACACAAUAUUUCACAAAUAUUCAUAGGCUUCUAGAUAUCAUAUUACAUCACAUCAUGUUAUAAUAAUAAUAAUAAUAAUAUUUAUUCAGGAAGCUCCACUCACCGAAGUGUUUUUCAAGUGUUUUUUUUUUAUACACCAAACUGCAUGCGGUCAAGGAUUCAAACAUCGAUUUUGAACAAGAAUAUUUGUAAAUUUGUGUAUCAAAUUGGGUCGUUAGGGACGGACCAUUAGAUGUUUGAAGGGGGGGGGGGAAAUCCCAAAAAAAAAUUGCGCACAGAAAAAUAAAAAAAAUCCAAAAAAAAUCCCCCAAAAAAUCGAGCAAGAAUUAGGGAUGAUUUUUAAAAUCAUAAUGUAAUUAUUCUAAAACACUAAAACGGUGUUUUAUGACAAUCGAAAAAAAAUUUCCGGGAAAAUUUUUUUAGAUCAUCUUAAAAAAUAUAUCGUGCAAAGGAAUAUUGCAGCAAUUGGGGGAUGAAAAAAAAUUCGCGCACAGAAAAAUUGCCCAACCUCCCCUCAAAUAUCUAAUGGUCCAUCCCUUACAGGGGCGGAUUCAGGUUUAUAUAAACCUGUCAGGUUUGACAGGUUUAUAUAAACCUGUCAGAUUUUCCAAAGAAAUAAAAUCUAUAACCUUCCAUCUACAUAUAUAACUAAUUUAAAGAAUAUUCUGUUUCAUAAACUUGAUGUUGACUGAUCUAUUACGCCAUUUAAAUACUGUUAUUGAAAUUUGAUACUGGAUUACCGAAGGUAUUUAGACCAACUUACAUAAUAAGCAUUUAAUUAAUUAAGGACUUAUAUAUCGCGUUGGUUUCCUCUUACGAAAUGUUGUAAUACUAGACAAAUAAUCUGCUAAUGUAUCGUCGUGGGUCGUGGACAUCGCAUGAGUCACACAUAACCGCCCGCAAUUAUGAGUAAACCAGGUGGUCAGAGUUUCUCAAUGAGAGAAAACCUGUCGAUGCGCCAUUCGUUUAUAAUUUUGCGUGACUGAAUCAUUGCGUUGGCGAUAGAAGCAUUUACAUGGAUUUCUUGUUCAUUUUGAAGGUUUGUUUAAAAGUUUAUAGUCUAAAGUUAUAACUGUAAGCUAUUUCUACUUACUGUAUAAUAAAUAUCGAUCCGUCAACAAGCGCAUCAAUCUUUAUACGUGUAUUAACUUCUACACAGUCUACACUCAUGAUAGCGCGAAAUAUAUGUAUAAAUAUAAUAUUGCGUGACCGAAUCAUUGCGUUCGCAAUAGAGAAUCAGGAGAUAAUUGUCAAGCUUUCACGCUCUUGCAGUUUAGUUUCUAUUUCAUUGUUAAAGCGGUUGGUUUGAAAGCGUAUAGAUCUGAAUUUAUAACUAUGUUUAUAUUAAAAGCAUCUCUACUUGUUAUACUUAUAAUAAAUAUCGAUGCCUCAGCAAUUUGCCAAUCCCAUAUUUUUAUCACUAGCUAAUAAG